ACAUGCAAGUCGAACGGAAAGGCCCCUUCGGGGGUACUCGAGUGGCGAACGGGUGAGUAACACGUGGGCAAUCUGCCCUGCACUUCGGGAUAAGCCUGGGAAACUGGGUCUAAUACCGGAUAGGACCUUUAGACGCAUGUCUUUUGGUGGAAAGCUUUUGCGGUGUGGGAUGGGCCCGCGGCCUAUCAGCUUGUUGGUGGGGUGAUGGCCUACCAAGGCGACGACGGGUAGCCGGCCUGAGAGGGUGUCCGGCCACACUGGGACUGAGAUACGGCCCAGACUCCUACGGGAGGCAGCAGUGGGGAAUAUUGCACAAUGGGCGCAAGCCUGAUGCAGCGACGCCGCGUGGGGGAUGACGGCCUUCGGGUUGUAAACCUCUUUCACCAUCGACGAAGGUUCGGGUUUUCUCGGACUGACGGUAGGUGGAGAAGAAGCACCGGCCAACUACGUGCCAGCAGCCGCGGUAAUACGUAGGGUGCGAGCGUUGUCCGGAAUUACUGGGCGUAAAGAGCUCGUAGGUGGUUUGUCGCGUUGUUCGUGAAAUCUCACGGCUUAACUGUGAGCGUGCGGGCGAUACGGGCAGACUAGAGUACUGCAGGGGAGACUGGAAUUCCUGGUGUAGCGGUGGAAUGCGCAGAUAUCAGGAGGAACACCGGUGGCGAAGGCGGGUCUCUGGGCAGUAACUGACGCUGAGGAGCGAAAGCGUGGGGAGCGAACAGGAUUAGAUACCCUGGUAGUCCACGCCGUAAACGGUGGGUACUAGGUGUGGGUUUCCUUCCUUGGGAUCCGUGCCGUAGCUAACGCAUUAAGUACCCCGCCUGGGGAGUACGGCCGCAAGGCUAAAACUCAAAGGAAUUGACGGGGGCCCGCACAAGCGGCGGAGCAUGUGGAUUAAUUCGAUGCAACGCGAAGAACCUUACCUGGGUUUGACAUGCACAGGACGCGUCUAGAGAUAGGCGUUCCCUUGUGGCCUGUGUGCAGGUGGUGCAUGGCUGUCGUCAGCUCGUGUCGUGAGAUGUUGGGUUAAGUCCCGCAACGAGCGCAACCCUUGUCUCAUGUUGCCAGCGGGUAAUGCCGGGGACUCGUGAGAGACUGCCGGGGUCAACUCGGAGGAAGGUGGGGAUGACGUCAAGUCAUCAUGCCCCUUAUGUCCAGGGCUUCACACAUGCUACAAUGGCCGGUACAAAGGGCUGCGAUGCCGCAAGGUUAAGCGAAUCCUUUUAAAGCCGGUCUCAGUUCGGAUUGGGGUCUGCAACUCGACCCCAUGAAGUCGGAGUCGCUAGUAAUCGCAGAUCAGCAACGCUGCGGUGAAUACGUUCCCGGGCCUUGUACACACCGCCCGUCACGUCAUGAAAGUCGGUAACACCCGAAGCCAGUGGCCUAACCUUUUGGAGGGAGCUGUCGAAGGUGGGAUCGGCGAUUGGGACGAAGUCGUAACAA
rnacentral:rRNA from 1 species